UAGCGCAAAUAAUCCCAACCCAGUUAUUAAAACCAGCCUGUCCUUCUCUCUCCUCCAGCCGGCGACGGGGAGUCUUCCUUUUUUGCUUUAACUCACUCGAAUAAUAUAUGGAGCGAUGUCUUCUCUCUUAGUGCAGAAGUCUGUGUCCCAAAUGGCUAAAAUGGUGGUUCUAAGACACAUUGCUUCAAAGCGAUCAAUAUCAACUUUUCCUUUUCUCUCUCAGAGAAUUAAACAAACAGAAAAAGAAAUAGUUGAAAUGUUCAAGGUACCCAGUUCAAAGGAUGAUGAAAUGCAAAACUUGCCCACGCAAAAUAGCAAGUUCUCGAGGAGAGACCCUUCGGUUAGGACAUUAGAUGAGAGGUUUAUAAGGAUUUUGAAGAUAUUUAAGUGGGGGCCUGAUGCUGAAAAGGCCUUGGAAGUGCUCAAGUUGAAAGUGGAUCAUCGACUGGUUCGUGAGGUUUUGAAGAUAGAUGUUGAGAUUAAUGUUAAGAUUCAGUUUUUCAAGUGGGCUGGCAAGAGGAGGAAUUUUGAGCACGAUUUGACUACUUAUAUGCCUCUAAUCCGUUGUUUGGAUGACUGUGGGUUAUUUGGUGAAAUGUGGAAGAUGAUCCAAGAAAUGGUCAGGAGCCCGACGUGUGUUAUUGGUCCGGCUGAUUUGUCUGAAGUUGUGAAGAUAUUGGGCAAGGCCAAGAUGGUGAAUAAGGCACUUUCUGUCUUUUACCAGAUAAAGAGUCGCAAGUGCAAACCAACGGCGAGCACCUACAACUCUAUGAUUUUGAUGUUGAUGCAAGAAGGGCAUCAUGAAAAAAUUCACGAGCUUUACCAUGAGAUGUGUAAUGAGGGUGACUGUUUUCCAGACACAAUGACAUAUAGUGUGCUUGUUUCGGCGUUUGUGAAAUUGGGUCGGGAUGAUUAUGCUAUAAGGUUGUUCGAUGAGAUGAAGGCCAAUGGCUUGCAUCCAACUGCAAAGAUUUAUACUACCUUGCUGGCAAUCUACUUCAAGUCAGGUGAUGAGAAAGCUUUGGGUUUGGUGCAAGAGAUGAAGGAUAAGGGCUGUGCACCUACUGUCUUCACUUACACCGAGUUGAUUAAGGGGCUAGGAAAAUCUGGGAGGGUUGAAGAUGCUUACAGUGUAUUCUUGAAUAUGUUAAAGGAUGGUUGUAAGCCUGAUGUUGUGCUGAUAAACAAUUUGAUCAACAUUUUUGGAAAAGCAGGUCGCUUGGAAGAUGCGCUUAAGCUUUUUGACCAGAUGAGGUCUUUGAAGUGCGCGCCAAAUGUGGUUACAUACAACACUGUAAUUAAGGCUUUAUUUGAAUCCAAAGCUCCAGCUUCCGAGGCUGCUUCAUGGUUUGAGAAGAUGAAGGCAAAUGGUGUUACUCCCAGCUCGUUUACUUACUCAAUUCUUAUUGAUGGUUUUUGCAAAACAAAUAGAGUUGAGAAAGCUUUGUUGCUUCUUGAAGAGAUGGAUGAAAAGGGUUUUCCGCCUUGUCCAGCUGCCUAUUGCAGCCUUAUCAACGCUCUUGGAAAGGCAAAACGAUAUGAAGCUGCAAAUGAGUUAUUUCUGGAGUUGAAAGAGAAUUGUGGACGUUCAAGUGCUCGUAUAUAUGCUGUGAUGAUAAAAAAUCUUGGAAAGUGUGGCCGUCCGAGUGAGGCAGUAGAUCUUUUCAACGAGAUGAAGAAAAUUGGAUGCAAUCCUGAUGUUUAUGCUUACAAUGCACUCAUGUCAGGGUUGGUAAGGGCUGGCAUGAUAGAAGAAGCUUUUUCUGCGCUCAGAACCAUGGAAGAAAAUGGUUGCACUCCAGACUUAAACUCGCAUAACAUUAUUCUAAAUGGCCUGGCUAGGACAGGUCGCCCAGAACAGGCAACUGAAAUGUUUAUGAAGAUGAAAGAUUCGUUGAUCAAGCCAGAUGCAGUGUCGUAUAACACCAUUCUUGGCAGUCUGAGCCGCUCUGGCAUGUUUGAGGAGGCUGCAAAGCUGAUGAGAGAGAUGGGUUCAAGAGGAUUUGAAUAUGAUCACAUCACUUACUCAUCAAUUCUUGAGGCGGUUGGUAAGGUUGAUGAAGAUGAUGAACCCAACUUUCCAUGAAAGAGACCUGAUUCUUUAUGGUAACGGGCCCUUUUGGGUUGUUCACCUAGACUUUGGAGGAAUGCAAUCUUCACCAAGUUGAACAAACCCUUAACAGAUUAAGGGUUGCCCCUUGCUUUACUAGGACCACCAGUUUAUCAAAUAAAUCGACUAUCUUUUUACCAAACAUGAACUUUUACCAAGCACGAGUGUGAUUGGUUUUGAUUUGGGCUGAGAACUGCACUGUUGCUGUUACCAGGCAAAGUGACAUUAGUGUUGUGCUUAACAAUGAAUCAAAGCAUUGCCCCUUGCUUUACUAGGACCACCAGUUUAUCAAAUAAAUCGACGAACUUUUUACCAGGCAUGAACUUUUACCAAGCACGAGUGUGAUUGGUUUUGAUUUGGGCUGAGAACUGCACUGUUGCUGUUACCAGGCAAAGUGACAUUAGUGUUGUGCUUAACAAUGAAUCAAAGCAUUCGGAAAUGGAGGGAUAACUGGUUAGAGGGUUUUGGGCCGCUGGAGCAACAUGCUACUCAAAUCAUUCCGGAGGAGUUGGUUAAUGCUUCUGUUGCAGAUAUGGUGAUCAAUAAUGAGCAAUGGAGCUGGGAAUCUUUUCUCACUUGCUCCCCAUGCAGAUAGUGUUGAUCAUGGCUAAUUACCUUCCCCCCUCAAGUGGUAUGGAAAAGGAUGCUGUUUAUUGGCGAAACACCACAUCAGGUACAUUUACUACUCAGUCUGCAUAUGAUGCACAAAUUAAUGAAGUGAAUUCUAGUCAUCGCAAGGAUCCUAUUUGGCGAUUGGUUUGGAAAUGGAAAGGUCUAGAGUGGAUCAAGGCGUUCUUAUGGACAGUGGCUCAAAAUGGUUUGUUGACAAAUGAGGCUUGAGUGCGUUGACAUUUUACAGAGAAUCCUAGUUGCCAUCGUUGCUUAGGGGAAACAGAGAGCACGUUGCUUGCACUUAGAGACUGCCCUAUUGCUACUAUUAUUUGGAAUUCUCUUGUUAAACCACCAGACAAGGAAAUGCUUUUUAGUGCAGGAGAGACCACUUGGCUGUUAAGAAGCCUCUCGGCUUGUGAUGAGGCCACAGCAGUAGUUACUUGGUCUACAGUAUUUGGAGCAACAAUCUGGUACUGGCGGAAGUUUAGAAACCAAAGAAUUUUUGCCAAUGAUUCUUUGUCUCACACUUGUCCCCUGAACGUGAUUAAGAGUAUAGUAGCAGACAUAAAACGUACCAAUGAGGUAGAUGGCGGAGCUUGUAGCAAUAUGAAGUGAGUUGGAUUGGUUGGAAAUACCCUCCAAGGGAGUGGAUGAAGCUUAAUGUUGAUGAUAGUAGAAAGGGAAAUUCUGGGUGCUCCCGAGCAGAUGGACUCAUUCGGGACAGUGAUGGAUCUUGAAUUGUUGGAUUUGCUAUAAAUACUGGUGUGGGAAUCUCAGCUAGAGCUGAGCUAUGUGCAAUUACUGCUGGAUUAGAGAUUGCAUGGUCUCGAGGUAUUACCAAACGGAUUAUUGAAUGGGAUUCUGAGCUGGUGAUAGAUUGCAUUACAAAGGAGUCAAUUAAAAUGGAUGCGAACUAUAUUUUAAUUGUCAAAGCAAGGGAACUAUUAAAAAGAGAUUGGGAAGUGGUAGUGCAACAUGCAUUCAGGGAAGCCAAUUUAGUAGCAGACUGUUUGGCAAACUUUGGGUUAAGUAAAGAUCUAUUUGACAGGGGAUUGGGAAUAAUUACCAAUCCUCCUUUAAUCUUA